rnacentral:lncRNA from 1 species
CGGCCCCUCCCGCUCGAUCGGGUCCGUAGCCGGCGCAUGCGGCGGCGCUCCGUUGGCGGCCGGCGCAUGCGCAGCGGCAGGGAGCAGCAUGGCGGCGAGUAGGGCAGGCGUUUUCGCUCGGCGGCGGCGGGUUGAGAGCCGGGGCCGCCUGGAGUCGAGGAUCUGGGGGCCCCGGUGAGGCGAGCGCGUGCCUUCGGAUGGCGGUGGGCUGUGUCCUGCCCGCUGCGGCCGUCGGGCCCCGGUUCCUCCCCAGUGCGGGCCGGGGCGCGCGCUCGCCCCUGCAGACGCAGCCUGGAGGAACGGGGAGGCAGGCGGGCCCCGGAGUGGGCUUGUGACGCGGCGUCCGCGGGAGGACGGCUCCUGUGGCGGCAGGCACACCCGAGAGUGCUGAUAAGUCCCGAGGAGGUUUAAAACCUCUGGACCGAGCAGGUUGAGUGUCAAUUUGAGUCAGGUACGAUUAGUGCAGCCCCAGGUUAUUUCCUGGAGAGCUGGGGCUAGGCAAGCAAGAAGAGGGAUAGAAGAAUGACACUCCCAGGCACCCGGAGGCCCCCCCCACUCCCAGGCAGUGUGUGGGCGCCAGCCAACGCGGGCACCGACUGACUGAAAACCCCGCUGAGCCUUGCUGAGCCCUGCUCCCUCCUGUCUGGCUGCCCCAAAGCCACAGGCUUCCCCAGUGUGGUAUGUGGUGACGGGUCCUCCGUUGCCUCUGAUGUCUCCCCGGGCAGAGGGCAGCUGCACGUAUGCUGCACAGGGGUCUGGAUGUCUCCAGCGGUGGCACAGCAGACUGAUGUCCCAAAGCCCCAAGCAAUCCUAAAACCACUCCCAGACCCAGUCCCCACAGCAGUGAGGUGUUCUGAUAAAUAUGGGGGGUGAUCUGUGCCUCCCCUUUGACUCAGUCCCACUUUAGAGAAAAGGGAAUUUACAGCACUUCUCGGUGAAGAAUGUUGACAGGUGGGUGUACAGAUGACAAACAGACUUUUCUCUCUUUUUUUCUGAGCCACCUCUUAGAAGCCUCUGUGCAUGCAAGAGGACUCUGUUAAUGCGG